UACGGAGGGCGCGAGCGUUGUUCGGAAUCAUUGGGCGUAAAGCGCGUGUAGGCGGCUUGGCAAGUCGAGUGUGAAAGCCCGGGGCUCAACCCCGGAACUGCGCUCGAAACUGCCUCGCUAGAGUCCCGGAGGGGAGGGCGGAAUUCCAGGUGUAGAGGUGAAAUUCGUAGAUAUCGGGAGGAACACCAGUGGCGAAGGCGGCCCUCUGGACGGUGACUGACGCUGAGACGCGAAAGCGUGGGGAGCAAACAGG
rnacentral:rRNA from 1 species